AAGGUAAAAUAUAGCCAUUAGGCUUAAGAGGAGGGGUGAGAAAAAAUUGUAUAAAAGGCGAGAGAAAAGUUGGCAGGGAUCAGUCGAGUGAGCAUCUCCGACACGGCAACAACUCCAUAUUUCGUCGUAAUAUCAGUUCACAAUCACUGUUAAUUAUGGCAUUGUGUUGCUGUUGGGUGUUGUAUCGUUGAUGUCGACCACGAGAGAAAAUCUUUCAAAAGGAAAGAGAAAAGGCAACAGAAGUCAAUCGAGUGAGCAUCUCUUACCCGGCAACAACUGCAUUCUUCGUCGUAUUACCAGGUCGCAAUCACGGUUAACUAUGCCGUCGUGCUGCUAUUAGUUGUUGUAUCGUUGAUGGCUGGAUCGAACACUGGAGUACCGAUGUCUCCUGGAUAAGGCGGAUACCAAACCGCAACGCCGCCGCCUUACUACACAACAACAUACGCAACGACCAGUUACUACACCGAAAUCCCUAAGUAUUGCACCAAGGCUUCAGAUUAUUACAUCACAACUUAUGCUGUCCUGAGCUAAUACACCGAAUCCCCGCAGUAUUAUUUUUCUUCCCCGAGCUACACUACCAAAGGGUCGAUUACUACACCGAGGCUCCGAAGUACUACACCAUCAAGGCACCGUGGUACUAUAACCACCACUUAUCAUGGUAUGAAAGGAGAGAAAAGGUGAAAUAAUUCAGCAGCCGAGUGAGCAUCUCCGUUACAGCAACAGUAACUGCGUGAUCUAUUUGUCGUCAACUUCAUUCUUCGUCGCAUUACAAGUUUUAAAUAAAGUGAACUAUGGCGUCGUGCUGCUGUUGGGUGUCGUAUCGUUGAUUGCUGGAUCGACCAAUGGUGUGCUGAUUUCUCCUGGGUUUGGCGGGCUUCAACAACAACAUACGCAACAACCGGAUACUACACUGAGGUCCCCAAGUGCUACACCACAAAGGCUCCAGAGUAUUACACCGUAACUUAUGCCACCCCAGUUUAUGUUGGCCCGAGCUACUACGCUGAAUCUCCGAAGUAUUUUUCUUCCCCUAACUUCACAACCUUCACUACGCCGCCUCUUUACUAAACAACAACGUCAACACCAACAUACUAACGAAGGGAGCGGAGUACUACACUUCGAAGGGAGCGAAGUACUACACUUCGAAGGGAGCGAAGUAGUACACCACGAAGGGAGCGGAGUACUACACCACGAAGGGA
rnacentral:lncRNA from 1 species